AGUGAACGCUGGCGGUAGGCCUAACACAUGCAAGUCGAACGGCAGCACAGUAAGAGCUUGCUCUUACGGGUGGCGAGUGGCGGACGGGUGAGGAAUACAUCGGAAUCUACUUUUUCGUGGGGGAUAACGUAGGGAAACUUACGCUAAUACCGCAUACGACCUACGGGUGAAAGCAGGGGAUCUUCGUACCUUGCGCGAUUGAAUUAGCCGAUGUCGGAUUAGCUAGUUGGCGGGGUAAAGGCCCACCAAGGCGACGAUCCGUAGCUGGUCUGAGAGGAUGAGCAGACACACUGGAACUGAGACACGGUCCAGACUCCUACGGGAGGCAGCAGUGGGGAAUAUUGGACAAUGGGCGCAAGCCUGAUCCAGCAAUACCGAGUGGGUGAAGAAGGCCUUCGGGUUGUAAAGCCCUUUUGUUGGGAAAGAAAAGCAGCAGGUUAAUACCCAGCUGUUCUGACGGUACCCAAAGAAUAAGCACCGGCUAACUUCGUG
rnacentral:rRNA from 1 species